GUAGUGAAAGGUCAGUUGCCCCGAAUCUCGUUCGCCUUCUGCUAUUCAGUCUGGUUUGGGACCAGAGGGUCGCAAGUUCGAAUCUUGCUGCCCCGACCA
rnacentral:tRNA from 1 species